rnacentral:lncRNA from 1 species
GGAUGACAGUAGCUCUUCAAGUGGUUAUGGUAGAGUUCUUGAAGAGAUUUGCCACUACAGAAAGGCUGAACUGGGUACAAUGGGUUUCAUGCAUUGGAAUUGCUGCACUGUCAUGGCCAAUUGGUUGGUUUGUCAAAUGCAUCCCUUCUGAACGGCUCCCUUCUCUUCCAUUUAGAACUACAUUUUAAGAAGUGGAAUCUUAGAUCAACUGGGUGGAGGGAGGUCAAUCUUUAUACGUACAUGUCAUGCCAGAGACCACAAGCAUCAAGAAAGUUAAAACAGAAAUUAUUAAUCAAAUGAGGCCCUGAAGUAUUAAGUUUCAAAUGUCAGCCUUUCAGAAAGCAUGAAAUAGGUCUACAAGUAUGCAAUUAAAAGUUAUCAAUGUACUUCAGUUUUUACAGAUAAUUUUAUUUUCCUUUUCGCUCCUCUUUGUUAUCAUUAAAAGAUGUGUUUUUGCAAGUUUCACCAAAAUACACAUCAAGUAUUUUAUUUUGCAUGCUUUCAGAUUUGACAUGACUUUCUGGUUUCUUGGUUCACUUACACAUAUAUCCACAAAUUUUAAAGCACCACUUGAUGAUUUUCAUAACUUCUCAUCCUCUGUCCACCAAUGACUAGCUACUCGAAGGAAUUUCAUUAAGAAUGUAUGAGGACCAAACCAUCCUAAUCAAGAUUGACAAUUAUUUCAAGUAGGAAAUGUAGUGGCAUCAGACCAGCCUAGUUGAGCAUUCUAAGUUACUUCAGAUGAGGAUUAAGAAGCUACAGGUUUUAUUCUUCACCACUUUUUGAUUUAGAUCACUGAGCUCCCAUCCUUCAAAAUCACCAUUAACUUCACCUAGUAAAAACAUGUCUUGAUAUGAUGCAUUCUAGUUUUUGCAUUCUAGUAUUUCCAUUACUUUGACCAUAAUGGUAUUGCUCUAAGCCAUAAUGAUAAAAUGAUUCCUCUGUUGUCCAUCAUUAAAAGAAAAUGUGUGAAUUGAACUCCCUUCCCCAAUAAAGUGCCUAAUAGCAGCUAAAGUGUCAGAUAGCUACCUCUUUUGCUGAAAAUUAUGCAAACACACCAGGCUUUCUACAUGUCAAAUCCCUUCCAAUUUCACGAACUGUGAAUGGUUUGUACUCGAAAUGAAAAUCUGUAUGCUAGCCAGCAUGCAGAGAAUCCAUCCCCCUUCCUUUGACCUGUCUACCCCGAUUGUCUUGGCCAACAGAAUUCAAAGCCAUCAAAAUUGUAAGCCAUGUAAAGAUUUACAUACUCUUAAAAAAAAAGACAUUCAUCUAAUGGAAGCAUAGCAAAUUUUGGAAGCUAAUACCACUCCAAAUUAUACCUAAACCUCUAAUUCAGAUUUGUAUGUUCCUUAAUUUUUUAAAAAAAAACAGAGAGAGAGAGAGAAGUAGCAAGUGCAGCAGUCCUUGUGCCAUUUCUGCUUCCCACACUCAAGCACGGCAAGAAACAUUCUAAUUAAAUCCUCUAUGUUUAAUCUCUUUCUGUAUGCACUUGAAAGCUAGACAUCAGAAAACUGAAGAAACUACAUAUAUCAUUAAAACAAAAGCACUACUGACAUAGGGGACCAAAACAAGCUAGUUUGACCACCUCUAAGAAGCUUGAUCCUCUACAAAUAUCCCUUAAGCAAACAUUUCCAAUUUAGUAAGCCUUCUCUCAAAUCCCUAAAUCAACAUUCUAGAUGCUAAUUUUGCAUGCAAGGAAGAACUAAAAUUCUCCAAACAAAACAAUCCAGAAAUUUCAUAUUUUAUUUUCCCAAACCCGUGCCCUUAAAACAAUAAAUUUGUUUUUAACACUCAAAGGGGUUAUUUUAAGAUCCCUUCAAGCUGAAUCUUUCAAUACACAUACAUACAAAAAGAAAAUCCAUGACCAUAAUGUAAGUUCCCAACUCAAUCUCCACAAUCGCUUUCAAAAGUCAUAGACUUGGAAAUAAUCACUCAAAUAUCAGCAAAUUUUACUCCUAAAAAUCAUUAUAAACACAUAAAAAAUAUUUUACUGUUUAGUGAAUUCUCCAGUCAUCUUCAUGGCAUACUUUUGCGGCUAACUUUCCAAUUUGUUUAAUUGCAUUGGAAAACCAGAUUGUUUUGCUUAAAGGAAAAGAACAAGAACCCCGUAUCAAACAAUUAUAACAGAACAAAUAAAUGAAGAGAUAACAACAAAAACUGAACAGAGAUAACUGAUAACAAACAUUGCCCGUAUGAAGAUAGAUAUAGUACAUGAACAUGAAAUCAAUAAGGAAGAAAAGGAAAAAGGGAGAAAUUAGCGUGAGGCCUUACUUGGCUGCUGUUCAAAGAAUGGAAACCAAAUGUGAUAACAUCCCAAGGUUCCUUAUUGCCUUCUUCGAC